rnacentral:tRNA from 1 species
AGGAUAAAAGUUUUUAAAAACAUUUGAAUUGCAAUCAAAAAAUAUUGAAUCAUCAAUUUAUCUU